rnacentral:tRNA from 1 species
GCUUCUGUUCGUCUCGGCCUCGGGAAGCAUCUGACUACGGAUCAGAAGGUUUGGGGUUCGAAUCCCUACAGGCGCG